GCCGGGCGCGGUGGCGGGCGCCUGUAGUCCUAGCUACUCAGGAGGCUGAGGCAGGAGAAUCACGUGAACCCAGGAGGCGGAGCUUGCAGUGAGCCGAGAUCGCGCCACUGCACUCCAGCCUGGGCAACAGCGUGAGACUCCGUCUCAA
ensembl:misc_RNA Metazoa_SRP Metazoan signal recognition particle RNA